rnacentral:rRNA from 1 species
GACGAACGCUGGCGGCGUGCCUAAUACAUGCAAGUCGAGCGAAGUUUUUCUGGUGCUUGCACUAGAAAAACUUAGCGGCGAACGGGUGAGUAACACGUAAAGAACCUGCCUCAUAGACUGGGACAACUAUUGGAAACGAUAGCUAAUACCGGAUAACAGUAUUUCUCGCAUGAGAGAUAUUUAAAAGUUGGUUAUGCUAACACUAUGAGAUGGCUUUGCGGUGCAUUAGCUAGUUGGUGGGGUAAAGGCCCACCAAGGCGACGAUGCAUAGCCGACCUGAGAGGGUGAUCGGCCACACUGGGACUGAGACACGGCCCAGACUCCUACGGGAGGCAGCAGUAGGGAAUCUUCCGCAAUGGGCGAAAGCCUGACGGAGCAACGCCGCGUGAGUGAAGAAGGAUCUCGGUUCGUAAAGCUCUGUUGUUAGGGAAGAAUGGAUAUGUAGUAACUAUACAUGUAAGAGACGGUACCUAACCAGAAAGCCACGGCUAACUACGUG